rnacentral:rRNA from 1 species
CAGUCGCCGCGGUAAUACGUAGGUGGCAAGCGUUGUCCGGAAUUAUUGGGCGUAAAGGGCUCGCAGGCGGUUUCUUAAGUCUGAUGUGAAAGCCCCCGGCUCAACCGGGGAGGGUCAUUGGAAACUGGGAAACUUGAGUGCAGAAGAGGAGAGUGGAAUUCCACGUGUAGCGGUGAAAUGCGUAGAGAUGUGGAGGAACACCAGUGGCGUAGGCGACUCUCUGGUCUGUAACUGACGCUGAGGAGCGAAAGCGUGGGGAGCGAACAGGAUUAGAGACCCCCGUAGUCCCUGUCUCUUAUAA